CAGUCGCCGCGGUAAUACGUAGGUGGCAAGCGUUGUCCGGAAUUAUUGGGCGUAAAGCGCGCGCAGGCGGAUAGGUCAGUCUGUCUUAAAAGUUCGGGGCCUAACCCCGUGAUGGGAUGGAAACUGCCAAUCUAGAGUAUCGGAGAGGAAAGUGGAAUUCCUAGUGUAGCGGUGAAAUGCGUAGAUAUUAGGAAGAACACCAGUGGCGAAGGCGACUUUCUGGACGAAAACUGACGCUGAGGCGCGAAAGCCAGGGGAGCGAACGGGAUUAGAUACCCCAGUAGUCCCUGUCUCUUAUACA
rnacentral:rRNA from 1 species